rnacentral:lncRNA from 1 species
UAGAGAUUUCUGUCACUGACAGAAAUUCUAAUAUGGAGGGUUCCUGUUAACACAUAGCUGAUUCUUAUGAACAAAUCUAAUUUCUCUGAAGACUUUCAUUCCAUGAACUAUUGAGAUACUGGACUCAAUUUGGUCAAGCUUGGAGGGGGUAACUGAAAAGAGAAGAGGAAAAAGGAAUCAAGAGGAAAUAAUCAAUUGGGAAAUUUCAAAAGAUGGAAACUAUGAAGUCCAGAGGCAAUAAGUAACUUGAACAAGGGUAAGUGAAACAAGGAAAAAAGGACAAGAAAGGGUUUUGAUGUGUUUG